GCGAGUUCUAAACUCCCAACCCUCGUGGACAUACCUAUGUUGCUUCGGCGGGGCGCCCUGAACGGGGCGCGGCCCUCUCGGGGGCACCCGCCGGUGGCACGCACACAAAACCUGCCUUCUGAAGAAUUCUGAGUAGGCUAUAAAUAAGUCA
rnacentral:misc_RNA from 1 species